CUCUACGUGGACGCGGCUGUUCUGCUCGCGAGCACAGGUGAGCACUUUAUCGAGACCAGUCGAUACCGCAUUGGGAUUGUGUCGUUGAAUUACUGAGCCAGCGCGUCGAGCAGUGUUAAAUCGCGAGGGGAGGGAAUACAGUAUACUGCCGCCUCGUACACCGCGUCGGGACGGAGCCCGCGGAUGGCGCCGUGACGGGAUUUCCCCUCGCCGUGGCUCGGGGCGUCAGCGGAUUCCCUGAUCCUUUGCUCAGGAAAUCGAAUCUCCGUCAGUCGGCGCUGGGCAGGCCAGUAAAUGGCUACUAUGACAAACAGCGCCGCUGUCUCCCACCUCUCGCCAAUCUUUCUUGUGUCCGCCAUUGACGCCGUCCGAGAUCUGCGGAAGGAGUUCACGGCGGCGAGUUUCGUGGAUGGAGUUCCUGAUGCAACCAAUUAGGAGGUCCGCGGUGAUGGAGGAGGUGAAUGACAACCAGCUGCCAAUGGAGCCGGUGCACUACCCAGCGGUUGCGACAGCAACGGAGGAGCUGUCCCCCAUGGCCGCUGUAAGCGUUGACGGGCAGAUCUGUGCGGCGGAUGGGGCCGUUGCGGCGGAGGGGAAUGAUGAACCGCAGGCGUCUGAGCAAUCUAUUGGCUAGGUUGAUCCAAAAACACCAGGCUGGAAUCGCAGCCUUAGGAUUGGUGCUGCCGCACCGAGCAGAACACCAUGCCCAAAUCGAAUCAGUGCGUUUGAGAAGGCAGUCAGGUGUUGCGGAGAGAACCCAGCUGAAAACGUGAUCACACCGGUUCUCGGUACUAGUUUCGACUCUUUGGGCGAAACAUACGACUUGUGUGUACAUGUAGGUGGAUAUCAUCCGGAAAGCACGGUAAAACUGGUGCGUCGUCCUUGUGUACCAUUUGAGAUGAUGUUAUGUCGUACUUCAGCAAGUCAGCAGAUAACUGCUUCUGUAUUGACACCGUGUGCAAGAAUCGGACAACACCAGAGUCUGCUUGACAUAAAAGUCAUAAGUUAGUGCAGAUAAAAGCGCGUCAAAUGAAAUCAACAACUGUCAUAAGCUUAGUUGGGAGCUUGAAACUAGAGAGUGAAGGUCUUACUGAGAAUUCAGGUUCAAUAGGGUGCCUCCAGCUUAAAUAAGGGUUUUCGGUUUCUGCUUCAUCAUGUCAAGUUGGACGUGGCCUCGUGCAGUUGCGAGGUGCGAGAGGCAACGAGCAUUUAUUUCCUUCAAGAGGACUGUGAUCUCAUUUUUUUAAUUUACGUCUUCAAUAUCUGCCGUUUUUAGUUAUUCUCUUCAUUUUUGGUAUGACCAUAGUUAGUCUCUUUCAGAUAUUUUAGGCUCUAAUUAUUCGUUUUUAUUUAUUUAGUUACCCAUUUCUGUUAGUGUUCAGUUUUUAUGUUCAUUGCUCUAUCUGCAAUUUACAUGAGCGAACUUUCUCAGUCCUCACUCUUUAUUCGUUAGUCCAUGUUCGGUCCCUCAUUUUUUCCUUUUUCUUUUUUAGCAGUUUAUGUUGCAUGCUCAUCGGUGAGCCUGUCAACAUCAGAGGGAGAGGGGAGAAGUUGAGCGGUACUCUUGGUUCAGAUGUUUUCCUUAGCAAUCGUUUGACGCAGAGCGUUCUGUCUUUGAUUUUAAGGACGUUGCAACCUAACAUGCAUGAUUCGGAAAGGGAUAACAUAAUGGCUGGCAUUCUGUAAACUUUUUGUCGAAUUGUUAGUAAACUUUUGAUAGAGCCUAAAUAUCAGUAUUUUUUCCCUUUUUAGAUUUCUUUAGUUUAAUUCAUUGUUCUUCUUUUAGUCAUAUUGUUCUUUUAUUUGAUCAGUGGUUGUCAGUAUUGUCGUUUCUUCAGUCUAUAUUCAGUUUAUGUGUUUUCAGUCUGUAUUCAGUUUAUGUGUUUUCAGUCUAUUAUUCACUUUAUCAUUUCAGUUUUUAAGUCUUCAUUUUAUUUUCUUCAUCAUUCUGAUCCCGUGGAUUGAAUGAGGUUUCAGUGGCGUCAAAUUGCACCAUGAUCAGAUACAUGCUGUGAAAUCAUAUUUUGCAUGGGGGCACCAAGAAGCCUGCGGCGUGGCUCAAGCGGUGUCACUUCCAGUGGCUAUAGCAACCAAAAACCAAAAGCCCUCUAUAUUCUGAUGGCAAAGCUGUCCGAAAAGGUGACCUUAGCAGCACAACUAAACUCCCCCCCCUCCCCCCCCCCUCAGCUCUCAAACUGCAGCCUAAUUUUGCUGUCAGUUCUCUGUGUUUUUGAUUUGGAUCUGAUAUGAUGUAUGUAUCCCACGGGGCAUCACAUAAAUUACCAUUCAAGGUAGGUUCCAGUCUGCAGAUCGCGAGGGACGGUAUGGCUGGAAUACGCUUGGUAACAGGGAGCAUUACCACUGCUGCGUACAAGACCUCUAAGGAAGACCAUCUCGUCAAUAAGCUACGAGAACAAGGGCCAUUAGUUUUUGCAAGUGGAGAUGCAACCAUUGGAAACCAGAACGAUGAUGCUACUUCGGCAAAUGAGACUGGGAACAGGCUCGCUGGAUGUUGGCGCCAAAGAAGCCAAAAGAGAUGGGUCGCCCAACAACUAGCCAAGAGAAGGCGCCGUACGAGGGGCUCAGCAAACGGACAAGCUUCUGCACGAUAUGUUGCCAGCAGGGGCACAAGAGGACAACCUGAUAUCCCCAAGCCAGUUUGUAAACCAGUGCGGCACAAAAACUGCGGCGUUGAAGGUCACAAACGAAACAACUGCCGCAAAGUAGGUGAUCUGCGGCUAAACAACAUGUGAUGAUUUGUGUUGCUAAUGUAUGUGUUUGUAUGUUGUUUUCAGGCGUACUGUCUGUCUUUGUAUACAGAGUGGUGUACAUAUGGUUGUUGAUCUGUCUUGGUGAUUCUGUGAAGUGCAUUUCCCAUUGCCAACAUGGUUUCUGUUGGCUGAAUUUUUUACUGAGACAAUCUGGUUAUCUUUGGCUGCUAGAUGGGCAAUUGUGCUAAAUGCUGGACAAGUGCAUGCCUGUGUGAGGCCGUGCGCCCAGUGCUUGGCCGAUCCAUUUCUAAUUGCACUACAAGAGCAGGGAAAACAGAGGAGCAAUUACAUAAGCGUUCCUCCACCAUGCGUGCCCCAUCUGACCGAUCCAUCCCUUUUCGUUUAGGUAGAAAAGACUGAAUACUACAGGGCAGUUCUUGCCAUGGCUCUGACCGUGCUAUCCCUAUGGGCGUCUGGCAUUACAAAAUCAGAUGCAACUCGCAAGCUGGAUGAAGUAUCCGCAGAGGGUUCAGUUGAGCUGAAAGUUCAGUAAACCAGCCUGUAGGACUACAAGUUGUUACGCUGACUUCAUCUUCGGGAGUGUCUGCUGUCUUUGAGCAGGAGACAUGCCAUGCAACCGCAGAUCUGGAGACAUAAGAGAUGGGCCCGCAGGACGAAGUGCAGAUGCAGGCGCUCCGCGCGGUGGAUGAACGGUGCAGAGAACACGAUCCGGAAAAGCAUGAUUAGCUGCUGUGUGAGCUUGCCGAGCCCCGAGCUUGAAGACGGCGAGCAGUCUACGGCUGGGGCGUGCGGCGACUGGAGAUAGCUGCCGUCGUUGGUCCAGAAUCAGCGAGUUAGCGGCCCAGUCCGUGACGCUGUACCAAUGGCCGUUUGCUAGAAGUGGGCCAAUAUAACUGUUCAUUAAUAGAUAUACGGCAGUAAUACGUGGGCCUGUAUGCGUCAGAAUGGGAAUCUCGAAGAUCACGGGCGGGAGGGAUAUCGCGAGCACCUACGAUCGCGCUCAGAAGAGCACUUUCGCAGCUCUACUAGCUUCUAUGUUUCUGUAAAAAGAAUUACUGGCUGCUAAACAGACUCUGCGCUGAUGAACUUACAAAACUGAAAUUCAGUCGUACACCACGCGAUU